ACACUCAGGUAUCUCGGCAAUGGAUCUGGA
rnacentral:piRNA from 1 species